rnacentral:rRNA from 1 species
UACGUAGGGCGCAAGCGUUGUCCGGAAUUAUUGGGCGUAAAGAGCUCGUAGGCGGCUUGUCGCGUCGUCCGUGAAAACCUGCAGCUCAACUGCAGGCUUGCGGUCGAUACGGGCAGGCUAGAGUUCGGUAGGGGAGACUGGAAUUCCUGGUGUAGCGGUGAAAUGCGCAGAUAUCAGGAGGAACACCGGUGGCGAAGGCGGAUCUCUGGGCCAUUACUGACGCUGAGGAGCGAAAGCGUGGGGAGCGAACAGG